rnacentral:rRNA from 1 species
UACGGGGGGGGCAAGCGUUGUUCGGAAUUACUGGGCGUAAAGGGCUCGUAGGCGGCCAACUAAGUCAGACGUGAAAUCCCUCGGCUUAACCGGGGAACUGCGUCUGAUACUGGAUGGCUUGAGUCCGGGAGAGGGAUGCGGAAUUCCUGGUGUAGCGGUGAAAUGCGUAGAUAUCUGGAGGAACACCGGUGGCGAAGGCGGCAUCCUGGACCGGCACUGACGCUGAUGAGCGAAAGCCAGGGGAGCAAACGGG